AAGGGACUCACAUGCACUAACAUGCACCCCUGCAUGCCUUAACAUGCACGCGCUGCCAGACCUGCAAACAAAACAAAACCAGAGAGGCUACAACAAACACAGCAGGGGUGUAUCUCUGACUCUGGAGCUGCAGGAUCUGCCACUACUACUCAUCAUCAUCACUUUCAUCCUCAUCAUCAUCAUCAUCAUCAUCAUCAUAGAAACACUAUCAGUGGCUGAGACUUCUCUUCAGUUGUGUGUGUGCUCGAAGACAGAGUUUAUGGGUGAAGGAACUGAACUGAAUCACUCCCUGAAACGAUCCAUUUUCAGUCAGUUCAGUCUCACAACUCGCAGGGAUUCACUCUCUGACUGAGUGAUUUGCUGGGGGAAUGGGGUGUGUUCAAUACAGCAAGCACAGCUGAUUGUGAUUGCAAACAUUUAGCAUUUUGGUCUUGGACUGUAAUCCAUCUCCCUCCCUCUCUAAUGUUGAAGGAAGUAGUACCAAAUAUUUCACUUAAUGAUUAGGUGCGUGCUGUACAUAAUAGAGCAGCUCUGCCCAUCACAGCUCAGUAUCCUCUCAUGUCCAGCAGGUGGAAGAAAAGAGUUGUUUUCAUUCAUGGUAUAAGUGGAAAGAAAAUGUCAGAUACUUACUCCUACAGUGUCACUCUUCAUUAGUAUUAGACAGACAAUAUGAACCUCAUGGUGGAACUGCUAAUUAUUCUUUCCACAGUGAAUCUCACUGGAAACUUUAUAACACUGGAAUAAUGUUUGUUUUUCAUUAAUAAAGUGAAC